UUAGGACCUUCUGGGAAUUGAAGGGGUUCAAAGUUGGUAUUUUUUUUUUUUUACGUUUCCACCGUACAUUCUUUCGGCAAGUCUCGCCAGCUCCGUACGGCAAAGUUCGACACCGGACAUAGCUCAAAUGAAAGGUAAUGAAUCAGAGCAGGACCCACUGAAAUGGUUUUUUGGGGGUUAGCACCUUCUGGGAAUUGAAGGGGUUCAAAGUUGGUAUUAUUUUUUUUUACGUUUCCACCGUACAUUCUUUCGGCAAGUCUCGCCAGCUCCGUACGGCAAAGUUCGUCACCGGACAUAGCUCAAAUGAAAGGUAAUGAAUCAGAGCAGGACCCACUGAAAUGGUUUUUUGGGGGUUAGGACCUUCUGGAAAUUGAAGGGGUUCAAAGUUGGUAUUAUUUUUUUUUUUACGUUUCCACCGUACAUUCUUUCUGCAAGUCUCGCCAGCUCAGUACGGCAAAAUUCGACGUCGGACAUAGCUCAAAUGAAAGGUAAUGAAUCAGAGCAGGACCCACUGAAAUGAUUUUUUGGGGGUUAGGACCUUCUGGGAAUUGAAGGGGUUCAAAGUUGGUAUUAUUUUUUUUUUUACGUUUCCACCGUACAUUCUUCCGGCAAGUCUCGCCAGCUCCGUACGGCAAAGUUCGACACCGGACAUAGCUCAAAUGAAAGGUAAUGAAUCAGAGCAGGACCCACUGAAAUGAUUUUUUGGGGGUUAGGACCUUCUGGGAAUUGAAGGGGUUCAAAGUUGGUAUUAUUUUUUUUUUACGUUUCCACCGUACAUUCUUUCGGCAAGUCUCGCCAGCUCCGUACGGCAAAGUUCGUCACUGGACAUAGCUCAAAUGAAAGGUAAUGAAUCAGAGCAGGACCCACUGAAAUGAUUUUUUGGGGGUUAGGACCUUCUGGGAAUUGAAGGGGUUCAAAGUUGGUAUUAUUUUUUUUUUUACGUUUCCACCGUACAUUCUUCCGGCAAGUCUCGCCAGCUCCGUACGGCAAAGUUCGACACCGGACAUAGCUCAAAUGAAAGGUAAUGAAUCAGAGCAGGACCCACUGAAAUGAUUUUUUGGGGGUUAGGACCUUCUGGAAAUUGAAGGGGUUCAAAGUUGGUAUUAUUUUUUUUUUUACGUUUCCACCGUACAUUCUUUCUGCAAGUCUCGCCAGCUCAGUACGGCAAAGUUCGACGUCGGAC